GGGUGAGUUGGUUGGUCGUGCCACCGGUACGUACUGGUCUCACUGAUUCCUCCUUCCUGAAGAACCGUAAUGCCAUUAAUUUGGUGUUGCGGGGAAACAGGACUGUUACUUUGAAAAAAUUAUAGUGUUUAAAGCAAGCUAACGCUUGAAUACAUUAGCAUGGAAUAAUGAAAUAGGACGAUCGAUCCUAUUUUGUUGGUUUGUAGGAUUGACGUA
rnacentral:rRNA from 1 species